rnacentral:rRNA from 1 species
UGGGGAAUUUUGGACAAUGGGCGCAAGCCUGAUCCAGCAAUGCCGCGUGCAGGAUGAAGGCCUUCGGGUUGUAAACUGCUUUUGUACGGAACGAAACGGCUCUGGUUAAUACCUGGGGCUAAUGACGGUACCGUAAGAAUAAGCACCGGCUAACUACGUGCCAGCAGCCGCGGUAAUACGUAGGGUGCGAGCGUUAAUCGGAAUUACUGGGCGUAAAGCGUGCGCAGGCGGUGAUGUAAGACAGAUGUGAAAUCCCCGGGCUCAACCUGGGACCUGCAUUUGUGACUGGAUGGCUGGAGUGCGGCAGAGGGGGAUGGAAUUCCGCGUGUAGCAGUGGAAGGCGUGGAUAUGCGGAGGAACGCCGAUGGCGAAGGCAAUCCCCUGGGCCUGCACUGACGCUCAUGCACGAAAGCGUGGGGAGCAAACA